AUGAACGCUAGCUACAGGCUUAACACAUGCAAGUCGAGGGGCAGCAUGGUCUUAGCUUGCUAAGGCCGAUGGCGACCGGCGCACGGGUGAGUAACGCGUAUCCAACCUGCCUUACACUCUUGGACAGCCUUCUGAAAGGGAGAUUAAUACAAGAUGUUAUCAUGAGUAAGCAUUUUCGCAUGAUUAAAGGUUUACCGGUGUAAGAUGGGGAUGCGUUCCAUUAGAUAGUAGGCGGGGUAACGGCCCACCUAGUCUUCGAUGGAUAGGGGUUCUGAGAGGAAGGUCCCCCACAUUGGAACUGAGACACGGUCCAAACUCCUACGGGAGGCAGCAGUGAGGAAUAUUGGUCAAUGGACGAGAGUCUGAACCAGCCAAGUAGCGUGAAGGAUGAAGGUUCUAUGGAUUGUAAACUUCUUUUAUACGGGAAUAAACGGAUCCACGUGUGGAUUUUUGCAUGUACCGUAUGAAUAAGGAUCGGCUAACUCCGUGCCAGCAGCCGCGGUAAUACGGAGGAUCCGAGCGUUAUCCGGAUUUAUUGGGUUUAAAGGGAGCGUAGAUGGGUUGUUAAGUCAGUUGUGAAAGUUUGCGGCUCAACCGUAAAAUUGCAAUUGAUACUGGCAGUCUUGAGUACAGUUGAGGUAGGCGGAAUUCGUGGUGUAGCGGUGAAAUGCUUAGAUAUCACGAAGAACUCCGAUUGCGAAGGCAGCUUACUAACCUGUAACUGACAUUGAUGCUCGAAAGUGUGGGUAUCAAACAGGAUUAGAUACCCUGGUAGUCCACACGGUAAACGAUGAAUACUCGCUGUAGGCGAUAUACAGUCUGCGGCCAAGCGAAAGCAUUAAGUAUUCCACCUGGGGAGUACGCCGGCAACGGUGAAACUCAAAGGAAUUGACGGGGGCCCGCACAAGCGGAGGAACAUGUGGUUUAAUUCGAUGAUACGCGAGGAACCUUACCCGGGCUUAAAUUGCAGAUGAAUUACGGUGAAAGCCGUAAGCCGCAAGGCAUCUGUGAAGGUGCUGCAUGGUUGUCGUCAGCUCGUGCCGUGAGGUGUCGGCUUAAGUGCCAUAACGAGCGCAACCCUUGCCGAUAGUUACUAACAGGUCAUGCUGAGGACUCUGUCGGGACUGCCAUCGUAAGAUGUGAGGAAGGUGGGGAUGACGUCAAAUCAGCACGGCCCUUACGUCCGGGGCUACACACGUGUUACAAUGGGGGGUACAGAGGGCUGCUACCACGCAAGUGGAUGCCAAUCCCAAAAACCUCUCUCAGUUCGGAUUGAAGUCUGCAACCCGACUUCAUGAAGCUGGAUUCGCUAGUAAUCGCGCAUCAGCCACGGCGCGGUGAAUACGUUCCCGGGCCUUGUACACACCGCCCGUCACACCACGAGAGUUUGUAACACCCGAAGUCGGUGAGGUAACCUUUUAGGGGCCAGCCGCCUAAGGUGGGAUAGAUGAUUGGGGUG
rnacentral:rRNA from 1 species